rnacentral:sRNA from 1 species
GCCAGGUGUGGUGGCGCACUCCUGUAAUCUCAGCAGCUUGGGAGGCUGAGACAGGAGGACGGUGAGUUCAAAGCCAGUCUCAGAAACAGCGAGGUGCUAAGUAACUCAGGGAGACCCUGUCUCUA